rnacentral:rRNA from 1 species
GACGAACGCUGGCGGCGUGCUUAACACAUGCAAGUCGAGCGGUGCGGCGAACGGGUGAGUAACGCGGGAGUAACAGCCCCCCUCUCUGGGAUCACAGUUGGAAACGGCUACUAAUACCGGCAAGUGGGGGAUGACACGCGUCCUAUCAGCUUGUUGGUGGGGUAGGGGCCUACCAAGGCGACGACGGGUCGGCGGCCUGAGAGGGCGACCGGCCACAUUGGGCGGAGAUACGGGCCGAACUCCUACGGGAGGGAGCAGUGGGGAAUAUUGCACGAGGGGGGAAACCCUGAUGCAGCAACGCCGCGUGCGGGAUGACGGCGUUCGGGUUGUAAACCGCUUUCAGCGAUGACGCGGUAGUGGCAGAAGAAGCACCGGCUAACUACGUGCCAGCAGCCGCGGUAAUUC